CUGAGUUUUUUCUCUCCUCUUUUGUAAUAUCUCCCUUUGUAUAUCUGGUGGUAUAUCAAUCUAUCAAGCCAUCCAGCUUCCCUCUUGAAUAAUUGUACCACUUGUGUGCUUGCUUCCAUUUAGUGCUAUUAGCGAUGGUGGGUUUUUCGACGACCCCCUGGGAGAAAGCCAGGACCGCGGGUCUCUUGCUCUUUGGGCUCUCCCUUUUCAUGGUCGGUGUCCACCUCUCUUACCGCAACAUGGGCCCCGAAUAAGCCCGCAUCAAAGCUCGAUCCGACCUCCUCAGAGAACACCUCAAGAAAAGUAUGGAAAAUGAUCUCCUACUCUCGUUCUCUCCCUAACUUCCAGUGUGUUACUGGUCUAUUGUACCCUUUCUCUUUCAUCGCCUCUUCUUCUCCUUGCCUUUCCUGUUUGAACCUUUGUGGCAAUUGAGCUUCUUCUCUCUCAUCGUCCUCAUUAUCUUUCUCCAAGUCUCUCUCUCUCUCCCGCUCUCCCCUAAUAACGUUGGUUUCCUCCCUUUUAUCUCUCAUCUCCUGCUCAUCACUUUUUCCUUUUCUCCCCAUCUGAGCAUUGUUGCAAAUUGGUUGUUUAACUGCCUCACCUCACUCAAUCACUCUCUCUCCUAAUCUCUUAGGUCACUGGUCCCUGCUCCCCACUAUCUCGUCUCUGACUAAUGUCUUCUUUCUGCAUUCGAGCAUUAUUGCAAACUGAUAGAUCAACUAUUGCCGCUGCUUCUCUUAUCCCUCUUAAUUUUUAGCUCUCUCUCUCUCUCUAAAUUUGGGAUUCUCUCUCACCCCACUUAAUCUUCACUCUCUCUCCCCCUCUCUUUAAAUUUGAGAAUGGCGUUGGUGCCUGCUGCUGAUCCUGUGGUAGCUGAGGUGGAUAUGGGUUCCUAUAGUCAGUGCCUGCCACUGUCGUCCAAGCUGCCACUGUCUUCUAUGACACUCCUGCUACACUGAUAAAGCGGAGAGAUUAAUUGGAGAUGCUGCCACUUAUGGGGCACAGCAGGUUGUUUUUCCUGAGGCUUUCAUUGGUGGCUAUCCCCGUGGUUCUAACUUUGGAGUGGCCAUCGGUACAGUAGCCGAUCAGCAAAGGGAAAGAGGAGUUUCGAAAAUAUCAUGCAUCAGCCAUUGAUGUACCAGGCAAACUCCUUUAGUCCCUUUACAUCAAGUGUAUCUCUGUGUCAUCGAAAAUUUCACUUUUAAUUGGAUAAGUUAUAUAUGUUUUCAACGUUAGUUGACUUGCAUAUGUAACAAAUUUCCAAAUUUACAACCCUUUGAUAAGAAAAUAACUUGGAAUAGAGGCCAAUGGACUUUGAAGUUUCUACUUUUUCAUUUCUAUUGCAACAUAUGUCACAUGCAGUUGGUAUUUUGUUGAAAAAUGUGAAGUUGUUAGGUUAUAAUAUGUCCAAGAUUUGUGUAUUUUAAUGUUUUAAUCAUUGUAACGUUAGAAGUUACCCUUGAUUAA